rnacentral:rRNA from 1 species
AACGCUAGCUACAGGCUUAACACAUGCAAGUCGAGGGGCAGCAGGGAUUUAGCUUGCUAAAUCCGCUGGCGACCGGCGCACGGGUGCGUAACGCGUAUCCAACUUUCCCGUUACUCAGGGAUAGCCUUCCGAAAGGGAGAUUAAUACCUGAUGGUGUUUGAAAUUCGCAUGUUCUUCAAACUAAAGAUUUAUCGGUAACGGAUAGGGAUGCGUGACAUUAGAUAGUAGGCGGGGUAACGGCCCACCUAGUCUACGAUGUCUAGGGGUUCUGAGAGGAAGGUCCCCCACACUGGAACUGAGACACGGUCCAGACUCCUACGGGAGGCAGCAGUGAGGAAUAUUGGUCAAUGGUCGGAAGACUGAACCAGCCAAGUAGCGUGAAGGAUGACUGCCCUAUGGGUUGUAAACUUCUUUUAUAAAGGAAUAAAGUGGUCCACGUGUGGAUUUUUGUAUGUACUUUAUGAAUAAGGAUCGGCUAACUCCGUGCCAGCAGCCGCGGUAAUACGGAGGAUCCAAGCGUUAUCCGGAUUUAUUGGGUUUAAAGGGAGCGUAGAUGGAUUUUUAAGUCAGUUGUGAAAGUUCGGGGCUCAACCCCGUAAUUGCAGUUGAUACUGGAUAUCUUGAGUACAGUUGAGGUAGGCGGAAUUCGUGGUGUAGCGGUGAAAUGCUUAGAUAUCACGAAGAACUCCGAUUG